rnacentral:rRNA from 5 species
GCCGGUGGUGAUGCGCUUAGGGGGCACACCCGUUCCCAUCCCGAACACGAUGGUUAAGACCUAAGCGGCCGAUGGUACUGCACUGGAGACGGUGUGGGAGAGUAGGUGGCUGCCGGCU